rnacentral:rRNA from 1 species
CUGGCGGCAUGCCUAACACAUGCAAGUCGAACGAGACUUCGGUCUAGUGGCGGGACGGGUGAGUAACGCGUAGGAACCUACCAAGUAGGUGGGGGAUAACAGCUAGGAAACGGCUGCUAAUACCGCAUACGCCCGUUCGGGGGAAAGAUUUAUCGCUUAUUUGAGGGUCCUGCGUUCGAUUAGCUUGUUGGCGGGGUAACGGCCCACCAAGGCGACGAUCGAUAGCUGGUCUGAGAGGAUGAUCAGCCACACUGGGACUGAGACACGGCCCAGACUCC